AAUCAACGCUGGCGGCGUGCCUAACACAUGCAAGUCGAGCGAGAAAGGGAGCUUCGGUUCCCAAGUACAGCGGCGGACGGGUGAGUAACACGUGGGUAAUCUGCCCUCGGGUGUGGAAUAACUCAGGGAAACCUGGGCUAAUACCGCAUGACAUUCUUGUUACAUACGUAGCGAGAAUCAAAGCUGGGGACCCUUUCGGGGGCCUGGCGCCUGGGGAGGAGCCCGCGGCCAAUUAGCUUGAUGGUGAGGUAACGGCUCACCAUGGCUUCGAUUGGUAGCCGGCCUGAGAGGGCGGACGGCCACACUGGGACUGAGACACGGCCCAGACUCCUACGGGAGGCAGCAGUGGGGAAUUUUUGUCAAUGGGGGAAACCCUGAACAAGCAACGCCGCGUGAAGGACGAAAACCUUCGGGUUGUAAACUUCUGUCGGAGGGGACGAAAGCAGAGUUGGUUAAUACCCAGCAUUGUUGACGGUACCCUACGAGGAAGCCCCGGCUAACUCCGUG
rnacentral:rRNA from 1 species